rnacentral:rRNA from 1 species
UACAGAGGUGGCAAGCGUUGUUCGGAAUUACUGGGCGUAAAGGGCGCGUAGGCGGUCCCGUCAGUCCCUUGUGAAAUCCCCCGGCUCAACUGGGGAACUGCAAGGGAUACAGCGGGGCUUGAGUUCGGGAGAGGGAAGCGGAAUUCCAGGUGUAGCGGUGAAAUGCGUAGAUAUCAGGAGGAACACCGGUGGCGAAGGCGGGUCUCUGGGCCGAUACUGACGCUGAGGAGCGAAAGCGUGGGGAGCGAACAGG